rnacentral:sRNA from 1 species
UAGAGGCUGUGAGGACAGAAAUGGAGCCAAGGCUGUGGAGGUGGGAGGCGGGAGGUGGGAGGCCAAGCACA